UUGAUUGUUGUGCAAGACUUGAAAAGUACCUUGAGUUUGUUUAUCUCCUAUAUUGAAAACAGAUUGACCCGUCUUCAAUUUGAUCGAUUAUUAACGUUUACAAAUACCUUAGGUUGUAUUACAAAAGUACUUUGAAAUGUUUUGGCAAAGUUUAGAGGUAAUUUUUUUGAUAUUUUGUCAUGACUUUCUGCAAAUUGAACGCUGUUUUUUUCUGGUACAACGGCGCAAAAUAAAUGGACAAUUUGGAUAUAUAUGGACGGAAUUAAUCGAACAAAAGGACCAUUUGUGAUGUUUAUGGGACAUAUUGGAGUGCCAACAAAAGAAUCUCGUCAAAGAGUUCCCAGUUAUCUUGAAAGCACCAUAAAUCCAGAGAAUGCCAGCAUUUGAUGACCAAGUUUGAUGACAAAAUUUGCCCACGAAGAACCGCCGCACCACCUUCCUGUUUAAGUGAGCACAGUACAACAAGAAUACAUCUGGAAGAAGUGUUUCACUUUGGCUGCCCCCUGAAAUGUCAAUGGUCAGAAGAAGUGUUAUUCUCAAUCAAACAAAUAGAUAUCAUACACUGAGUGCACAAAACAUUAUGAACACCUUUCCAUGACAUAGACUAACCAGGGGGAAUCUUGGUGAAAGCUAUGAUCCCUUAUUGAUGUCACUUGUUAAAUGCACUUCAAUCAGUGUAAUUAAAGGGGAGGACACAGGUUAAAGAACAACCUUUAAUCCUUAAGACAAUUGAGACAUGGAUUGUGUAUGUGUCCCAUUCAUAGGGUGAAUGGGCAAGACAAAAUAUUGAAAUGCCUUUGAACAGAGUAUGGUAGUAGGUGCCAUGUGCACCAGUUUGUGUCAAGAACUGCAACACUGCUGGGUUUUUCACACUCAACAGUUUCCCGUGUGUAUCAAGAACGGUCCACCACCCAAAGGACAUCCAGCCAACUUAACACAACUGUGGGAACCAUUGCAGUCAACAUGGGCCAGCAUCCCUGUGGAACGCUUUUGACACCUUGUAGAGUGAAUGCAACUCAAUAUAAGGAAGGUGUUCUUAAUGUUUUGUACACUCAGUGUGAACAUGACUUUGUGUGAAACAUAACACUCUAUCAUUGAGAUUUUUCCUCGUUUUUACACGGUAGGCAUCUAAU